GCCUACGGGGGGCAGCAGUGAGGAAUAUUGGUCAAUGGCCGGGAGGCUGAACCAGCCAAGUCGCGUGAGGGAAGACGGCCCUACGGGUUGUAAACCUCUUUUGUCAGGGAGCAAGGUGCAGGUCGGGACCUGCUGUGAGAGUACCUGAAGAAAAAGCAUCGGCUAACUCCGUGCCAGCAGCCGCGGUAAUACGGAGGAUGCGAGCGUUAUCCGGAUUUAUUGGGUUUAAAGGGUGCGUAGGCGGUCCGUUAAGUCAGCGGUAAAAUUGCGGGGCUCAACCCCGUCGAGCCGUUGAAACUGGCAGA
rnacentral:rRNA from 1 species